rnacentral:rRNA from 1 species
AUACGGAGGGUGCAAGCGUUACUCGGAAUCACUGGGCGUAAAGCGCGCGCAGGCGGCUUGAUAAGUUGGAUGUGAAAGCCUACGGCUCAACCGUAGAACUGCAUCCAAAACUGUCAGGCUAGAGUGUGGGAGAGGAAGAUGGAAUUAGUUGUGUAGGGGUAAAAUCCGUAGAGAUAACUAGGAAUACCAAAAGCGAAGGCAAUCUUCUGGAACACUACUGACGCUGAGGCGCGAAGGCGUGGGAAGCAAACAGGAUUAGAUACCCCGGUAGUCC